rnacentral:rRNA from 1 species
AUUGAACGCUGGCGGCAGGCCUAACACAUGCAAGUCGAACGAGUGGCGGACGGGUGAGGAAUGUAUGGGAAACUGCCUGAUGGAGGGGGAUAACUACUGGAAACGGUAGCUAAUAACGCAUACCAUCGGAUGUGCCCAGAUGGGAUUAGCUAGUAGGUGGGGUAAAGGAUCACAUAGGCGACGAUCCCUAGCUGGUCUGAGAGGAUGAACAGCCCGACUGGAACUGAGACACGGUCCAGACUCCUACGGGAGGCAGCAGUGGGGUAUAUUGCACAAUGGGCGGAAGCCUGAUGCAGCCAUGCCGCGUGUAUGAAGAAGGCCUUCGGGUUGUAAAGUACUUUCAGCGGGGAGGCGUUACCCGCAGAAGAAGCACCGGCUAACUCCGUGCCAGCAGCCGCGGUAAUUC